rnacentral:rRNA from 1 species
GACAGAGGGUGCAAACGUUGUUCGGAAUUACUGGGCGUAAAGCGCGUGUAGGCUGCUUGGAAAGUCGGAUGUGAAAGCCCCGGGCUCAACCCGGGAAGUGCACUCGAAACUUCCGAGCUUGAGUUCCGGAGAGGAUAGCGGAAUUCUCGGUGUAGAGGUGAAAUUCGUAGAUAUCGAGAGGAACACCGGUGGCGAAGGCGGCUAUCUGGACAGUGACUGACGCUGAGACGCGAAAGCGUGGGGAGCAAACAGG